UUCUCCAUUAAUCUCAAGUUGGUAAGGUGUACCCUUUCUACUCGUUACUAGUAAACAUUCUCUGCACAAGAAGAGUACGAUUCCCCAUUAAUCUAAGUUGGUAAGUUGUACUCUUUCGACUCGUUACUAGUAAGUAUUCUCUGUAUUCAGUUCAGUAGUUUUGUCCAUCAUGAGUCCUCUUGUCGUAUUUUAGUUUACUCCGAACGAUUAGAAUUUCGACCAAGUAUGGUAUAUAGAUAAGAGACCCCAACCUCCCUCCACAGAUGGCUACUAAAAAUUUAAUCAUCUAUUGUCAGUCACUAAACUUGAUGAAAAUUUGAAUGAAAUUCAUGAUGCGAGGUUGAUUUCAUCUUGUCCACAAACAAGUACACACGGGAUCGAAAAUAUAACCUCCUUGUUGGAGGUAAUGCUAAAUGCAUGUUAGAAUAUACGUUAAGAAAUGUCCAGUUAGACAUUAACAAGUUCAUUCAAUAUCAAGACAAUGUCCGUCUUCCUUCAAUCAUUUCUGUGCUUUGAAUAAUACUUUUCAGAAAAAUAAACGUCGAAAUUAAUAUCACAAGUGCUAUAAUUUAUUUAUCAUGAUAGUUGUUUUUGACAUAUUUUUCGUUGAAUAGCUGGACCACCUAGUACAGGAUGUCGCCUGGGCGACUGCUGACCUAUAUUUUCCCAUCAUGCCUCAGACAAAGAGCUUUUUAUUAAAUACUGUUUUACAAAUGCUUACAGUGGAAGUCAAGAUGUAUUUCUGCAUACCAAUUUAGCCAUCAGUAUAAAAGUAUAUUUAUGCUAAAAGAAAAACACUACAAAAUCCGUCUAUUUGCUUUUUCAUGAUCCCCAAACAUAUAAUAAAGCAGCGAUAAUGUUCUUCCCAAGCGCUGCCUUGUCGCUUUCUCACUAAUAAAUACGGUUUUUAUUGUGAGUAUGUUCUUUGGUUAAUAAUGGCGCACCAUAAAUGACUUUCAUUGAUAAAUAUUUACAUACCAUCACUUUUCUGCGUGACUUAUGUUUGAGGUUUUCCUGUUGUCUACAUUCCAAAAGAUAUCAUUUUAUUAUUUCUCUGUUGUUAAAUAGUUAGAUUCAGACUUGACAAAUUGAUAGCCAUGGCUCUGACAUGCUGUAUACAUCACAUCGCCAAUAUGUCAUACACUAGAACAUGUAUCAAUAUUUUGAACAGGUGUCAAAGUGCAGAUCGUCUUUUACACACAUUAACAAGCUUGGCAAUGGAAGCGACGAACGGACAACUAAAGCUGAUAGAGUGAAGAGGGUGGUCAUUCAUUUAUCAAAGUAUUAAAUACUUUACACUGUGUCAUUUGGUGUAACUUUAUGAGACCGAUGAAAGAGUGGUCUCUAGUUGUGUGAAGGUUCAAUGUAACAUGUCAUUUAAAGGGGGCUUUCUUUUUCGUGUCAAUGUCGAAAUGGACGAGGGAAGUUGUCAGGCUGUUCAGGAAUAACAUAUAGACUCCGACUUUCCAGAUAACAGCGGUUUGACAAACUUGCUGCCUUCAUGAACGAUUGUUUUUCAUCGCCGCCGAUGAGUGUGAAAAUACAAAAUGGAGCGGACAAGAGCUGUCGAGCCAUCGUUCUUAAAUGGCAGGCUCCGUAACAAAUAUCUGCAAUAAACCAGUAUAUAAAUGUUCCAACUUUUGAAUGAAGGCACAUGAGAAAGUCGUGCACUUUGCGGAUGUUCUUUGUGAUUCGACUAAGGAUAUUUAGUUUCCUCUUGUAAGGUUUCUUAAUUUUGAUUUUCUUUGGGAAUAGUUAUUUAUUUUGGCAUAUUUCGCAGGUAAGGAAGUGGUAAGGAUUCAUUUAUUUUUCAUAAAGCAGUGCACGGCAGAUGUGGCUGUAGAAUAAUUGCAAAUUGAGUUCUUCGACGAUUUGCUUGAAGCUAAUAGGCGCCUUGCGUCAUCAAUGCCUUUUUCCAAAUGGACGCAAAAGGGCCCAGAAUAGCGGCGCUGGUUGUAGUUUUUGUUUUAACACCACUGGUGCUAAGAGCUUUUUUGAUCAUUUAUUUCUUAUUAAACGAAAUCCUAUCUGUCUUAACGAAAUUUUAAUGAAGUAGCAUUACAGUAAAAGAAGUAAUAACAUGAAAUAAAUGAUACACCUGACACGUUCGAAGCUGAUAUUUUACGUUCAAUAUAAAUAUCGGUUACACAAGGAGUGAGAUAGCGCGUAAAUCAACAACCCGUUCAUGAAACAAGUCGUCUUCACGGACAAGACAAUAGCCAUACGACGUACUAACGGAGUUCUAAUGAACUGCAAAUCACCUGCAAAACUAAUUGAGAGUCUGUUGAAUGGCUUGAUAGAGCUACGACGUGACUAACCCCGUUAAAAAAUCUAAAGCAACAAAAAUAGUCGUGAGGAUGUUGCUGGUUUUUAAAAAUGUUUUUCUUUAGUAUGUUUUCUUAGUAUACAGAACACUCCUCCGAUUAUAAUACAAAUCCCCCUUUUUAAGUCAAUCUAUUAAUUUCAUUUUAUAUAGGCAAUGAUAUCAAGUUUUUAUCAUAAACAUUUGUUAAUUUUAUUCAUUUAGGACUCUCAAGAUAUUGUGAAAUAUUUAAACAAUAUGGAGAACUAUUUUCUGCUAUGUUCAUUGCAUCAGUACUGUUAUUUAUUAUAAAUUUGUAAUGUAUAUUCUUUGCAGAUGUAGUUCUGAAACAGUUGUAUUUCCACAAAAAUAUUAUUUGAAAUUAAAUCACUUUACAUAAAAUAAUUAUGCAAUAUUCAUUAUUGUAAAGAGAUUUCUAGAUCUGCAAAUCAAUUCGAAUAACAUUUUCCUUAGAAAAAUAACUUCAAGAAAAGAAAAUGAUUUUGUUAAAAUAAUUGCCAAAAUUGGAUACAUGUAAUAUGCUUUCCGUUUUCGAUUUCACGUAAUAUUUACCUCGGCAAGGGAGAAAAAAAUUCGAAAUAAUUAUUUCCGACUACUCAGUAACAUUCAAUCAUAAUUGGUACUUUUUAGAUACUUUUUAUUAUUUAGAGUUAGAUUGAUCUUGAGACACAUUGACACUGAUAACGAAUGAAUUCAACAUAUAAAAGCAAGAGUAUAAAUUCAACAUAAAGGCAUUUUUGAACGUACUAUACAAUAUUGACAAAGCACUGUCUUUUUCUCUGAAAUCAUUAAUUUGUUAAAUUGUAUUAACUUAUUUCGUCUCUUCAUAUCAAUAUUACAAAUAUAUUGAUACAACGAGUAUAUUUCUUUGUUUUCGAUUGGAUGUAAAUCUAAUGUUUUUAAAUUAAUCUGAACUCUUAUUUUACAUCACACGCAGUGCGUAUAACGGGAUAUAUUUGUAGAUAAAUGUUUUCGUGUAUGAUUAUGAUAUGCAAUUGAUAAAAUAAAACAUAUGCUGCUGAAUAUAUCUUGACCUUUAUGUUUCCGUAUGGAAGUGUUUCUAAUAAUUAUACUAUGUAAAUCGGCAUGCUUUCGACCUACUGAAUCAGAAGUUUCUUGUCCAUUUUCAGGUCUUCAAGGAAAUGUAAUCGGUGUCUUGUAUGUUUUGACAGAGACUUUUGCAUGUUAGCAAGAUGAUUAAAACUGCAUGUUGUAAAAAAUUCUUUAGUAGAGGUAGAAGAGUUCUGAUAGCAAACUUGAAAACAUCAUGGCUGGAAUCUAAUGGUAAAUAACUACAUAUAAACCAUAUAUACCGUGUGAAACAGUCACUUGGUGCAAACACCGACAUUUCAAACACGGAGAAUGUGCAUCUUUGAAAGUGAGUACUUUUAAGAGAGAAAAAAUGACACUUCGUUUAUAUAUGUAUUCACCGCUUUACAUUUUUCUUAACCAUAUGUCAUAAUUUUAUGCUGAACGUCUAAUGUUUGUAAGAUAAAUAAAAAUGUUUGAAUUUCAAACUACAUGUACUCAUAAUGAAAGUUAUGUUAUUAUUACUUCAAGAACAAAAUAUCAUGGCGUAAAUAUUUGAUGUGAGUGUAUUAAAAUGCAUGAAUGAAAUACACAUAAAAUGAUAUAAAACCCUGAUUAACAAAGACCUGCAAGAUUCUGAGAGCGGCCACUGCGUGCAUGAGUUCCGAAAUCCUAGAGAGUACUUUCAACUCGGGGAAAUUGUCCGUCCCCACAAGACCAAGGACCACAGGUGUGCUGCAUGACAGGUUAAUUCACUUUUAAUGUCGCUGCAUUCCUUUGUUUUUGUUUGUCAAGUUUCAUUAUUUGAAAUGGAUGCCGUUGAGUGAAUUUUGUUGUUGUCAUGUGGUUUCUAUAUUCCCAGUCGUUAUUAUUUUACGCAAUGGUCUCAAUAACAAAGAAUCGCUUCACAAUCCCGGGUUCUUUUAUGGUGUAAUUUUACGGUUAACAUCGAUCUAAAAAUUACCCUCUUCACAAUGUUAGACCAGGUCUGGAAGAGGCAAAAUUUCAAUCCUUCAAACGGGGCAAGGACUUGCUGGAAUUCUCCAUCAUUUGCUUGUAGAACUGAUCUUUCAGCAACAUCAACACGUCAUUUCAAAGACAAUGAUCUUUUUCAAACAUCACGCUGGAAAAGUCAAGUACUCUACCUCGUAGAUUCUACUAAUUAUUUUAGCAAAGUAUAACUUUCGAACAUGUAUUAUAUUCAAGAAAUAUCUAAUCUACAAAUAUCUUAAAAUCAAAGAAACUAAGACUAAAUAUACAGAAACAUAUGUUUUCUCCUUGUAUAAAUUUGUUAAAACUUGACAAUAUUUUCUUGCAGAACUAAAGCAGUUCAUACUUUACAUAAACCUUGUACUUAAUAAGUAGGACUUUUCUUCUCUAGAAUAAAGAAAUGAAUUCUCAUGAAUUACAAAUGGUUAAAAAUACAUGUAUUUCAUUGACAAUUGAGAACUAUGGUCUUAAAGAACAAAGACAAUAAUCUCGUCAAACUGAAGAAUUAUAUACAAAUUCUAGUUAUUCUUUGAUAUUACUAUCGUGAUGGACGUAGAACGCGCUGAAAGUGACAAGGUGGGGUGGUCAUUUACCGGAGACCAGGAUUUCAGGCUUCAUUAAAGCCACGUUAUUAAAAACACAAGACGUGAACGGAACAAGGUUUCGGUGAUGGUUUUGAAGCUUAUAAUUAUCGAUGACAAAUUACAACCAGGCGGAAUAUGGCGGCUUCAUUAGGAUGUCUCUGAUCUCUUUGUCUUGCAGAAAGGUUCUUGUGUAAGAGGAAAAAAAUAUUGGAAGUGGGAUUUGCUGACCACGACAAAUGAAGCAUAUUUUUUAUUAGACGAUCGAGGUUAUUUGUCCACCAAUACUGGAAAUUUUGCUGUAUUGUAAUUUGAUAUAUGGUAUCUAAUGCAUCGGAAAUUACUGUCUCCAUUGCUUGGGAAAAUAUCAUGCUCCUUCGGAAAGAAGACUAUCAAACAUGUUCAGAUGUACUGUCUGCUAAAAGAAGGAAAUACGUUUUCAAGAAAAGGAGUACUCUCCGUAUUCUGGGUGUUGUUUUUUUUAAAUACGAAAAAGAAAGAUAUCAAACUAUGAGUUCAUUCAUUCGUUGCAGAUGUUGCUAACCCUUCCAAACCUCCUAUUUACUUUUUUUUAUUAGAAUAUUGUUGAAAUAUGAUGGAGGCAUGCGAAAACGUUGCAAACAGCUGUCCGAGGAGCCCGAGUAAUGACCAUCUCGUUAUCGGGUCUAGACACCAGGUAUCCCUCGUCCUGCAGAAGAUGGUUGAUAAGUCCACGAAAAUCUGCGGCGGGUCACAUCAUUAGGAUGAGGAGGAAACCCCGUUAUCAGCGGAAGCUUAUCGCGGCAUCCAAAUAUUUACACCUUAUUUAUAAACUGACACUUGAAACAUCUGUUUUAAUUUUCAAUUGUGUGAAUGUAAAAUAUACACAUUUUGUUAUAACUGAAACGGCACGGAGAACCAAGUUCGAAGGUCCAUUGACCUUUGGUGAGUUCAAAGAGUUUAAGAUAUUUCCGAUACACGUACACAAAAUUAGAAUUUUGAAAUUAGGAUGUUUGGUUCUUCGUGUAUAUUCUUUUAAUUCAGACUUCCAAGACUGUUUUCCUUUAUUAAUUUAGACAUUGUCAGAUUCAAAACUUGUCACGUAUGCAGUUAUUUUCUCCAGAUUCUAAAUUAUUAAAAUACGCUACUGUAAAUUAGAUUGCGUUUUAUGCUGCAUUCAAAAUGCAACGUUAACCUUAUAUUUCUUUGUUUUGCAUCUUAAACGUCAUGAAAUAAAAAUGCAAAAAUGG